CACGUAGGCGGUUUGUUAAGUCGGAUGUGAAAGCCUCGGGCUCAACCUGGGAACUGCAUUCGAUACUGGCAGGCUGGAGUAUGGUAGAGGGAAGUGGAAUUCCGGGUGUAGCGGUGAAAUGCGUAGAUAUCCGGAGGAACAUCAGUGGCGAAGGCGGCUUCCUGGACCAAUACUGACGCUGAGGUGCGAAAGCGUGGGGAGCAAACA
rnacentral:rRNA from 1 species